CACCAUUACUCCUGGUCUGACCAC
rnacentral:siRNA from 1 species